UACGUAGGGCGCAAGCGUUGUCCGGAAUUAUUGGGCGUAAAGAGCUCGUAGGCGGUUUGUCGCGUCUGCUGUGAAAUCCCGAGGCUCAACCUCGGGCUUGCAGUGGGUACGGGCAGACUAGAGUGCGGUAGGGGAGACUGGAAUUCCUGGUGUAGCGGUGGAAUGCGCAGAUAUCAGGAAGAACACCCGUGGCGAAGGCGGCUCUCUGGGACGGUACUGACGCUGAGACGCGAAAGCGUGGGGAGCAAACAGG
rnacentral:rRNA from 1 species